UUUCCAGACUCCUACGGGAGGCAGCAGUAGGGAAUAUUGCUCAAUGGGGGAAACCCUGAAGCAGCAACGCCGCGUGGAGGAUGAAGGUUUUCGGAUUGUAAACUCCUUUUGUUAGAGAAGAUAAUGACGGUAUCUAACGAAUAAGCAUCGGCUAACUCCGUGCCAGCAGCCGCGGUAAUACGGGGGAUGCAAGCGUUAUCCGGAUUUAUUGGGUUUAAAGGGUGCGUAGGCUGUGAGGUAAGUCAGCGGUGAAAUGCCCCCGCUCAACGGGGUGAAGUGCCAUUGAUACUGCCUUGCUGGAAUGCGGAUGCCGUGGGAGGAAUGUGUGGUGUAGCGGUGAAAUGCAUAGAUAUCACACAGAACACCGAUUGCGAAGGCAUCUCACGAAUCCGCGAUUGACGCUGAUGCACGAAAGCGUGGGUAUCAAACAGGAUUAGAUACCCCGGUA
rnacentral:rRNA from 1 species